rnacentral:pre_miRNA from 1 species
CCUUAAUCUCUGCAUCUGACAUGGGCACUGAGUCAGGAAAACCUUCAGUGUCACUGGUUUGUUGCAAUGGUCAAGGGA